rnacentral:rRNA from 1 species
AUGGCCAGAGGUUGGUGGAAGAGGGUCAGAACCACAUUGGGAAAACUCCCGGAAAUGACGCUCGUCAUCCACGACAUGGCAAAAGGCGGUUGCAUCAAGGAGUUCCAGAUGGCGACGGACCAGUGCGACCGCGAAUGGGAACGGCAGAGAGCCAUGGCCGACAGGACGCCCGGAGAGGUCGUCUCGUGCGCCAAGGCGACGGCCGCGCUGCGCAAGUGCAUGGAGGGCAAGGAUGUCUUGGCGAAGCACCUCGCCGCCAUGGAUGAGGGCAUCAAGGAGGACAAGUGGCGGCGGUGGGAUCCCUAUGUGCAGAAGAAGCUGAAGCUAGACGCAAGUUAUAGGUGGUGGACCGGCAUGAAGAAGAGUCAAGAAGAGUACAACUAG